GAUGAAGAACGUAGCGAAAUGCGAUAAUUAAUGUGAAUUGCAGAAUUUAGUGAAUCAUCGAAUCUUUGAACGCACAUUGCGCCCAUUAGUAUUCUAGUGGGCAUGCCUGUUCGAGCGUCAUUUCAACCCUUAAGCCUCUGUUGCUUAGCGUUGGGAGCCUACCUACCCGGUAGAUCCUCAAAGUUAGCUGGCAGGGUCGAGGUUCGCCCUAAGCGUAGUAGUUCUUUCUCGCUUCUGCGGCUGCCUAGGCCAUCGCCACAAGCCUUUUAAACUUCAAUGGUUGACCUCGGAUCAGGUAGGAAUACCCGCUGAACUUAAGCAUAUCAAUAAGCGGAGGA
rnacentral:misc_RNA from 1 species